CUUUAAUAUUCUGUGCUAGAUUCACAGGGCUCUUCUACAGAUGCUAAGCGUUCAAUCCUGAAGGCUCCACUUCAUCAUCAGAACAAGUAUGUAAAGCUCUGAAUUUCAAAGCUGUGCUACCCUCAAACUCCUCUUCCAUGAAUAUUAAGGGACUUCAGAGGGAAAGGAAGAAAUGUUUUACUUAUUUUAGGUGUUUCAUGACAUUUCUAAGGCUUGAAGAAUUCAACACUUUACAGAAAUUCUUCCGGAUCAUCUAUGCCAGAAGUUCAUUCACACCGAGAUUUCAGCCAGGGCAGAGCAGGAGCUGUGUGAUGAUGGUGGACUGGGACUUGAGCUGUCAAGAUCUCCUCUCAAUCCCAGUGUAUGAGGACACUGGAAACAAAAUAAACCAAAACAGGUAAAUUUUU
rnacentral:lncRNA from 1 species